UACGAAGGGGGCUAGCGUUGCUCGGAAUCACUGGGCGUAAAGCGCACGUAGGCGGAUUUUUAAGUCAGGGGUGAAAUCCUGGAGCUCAACUCCAGAACUGCCUUUGAUACUGGGAAUCUCGAGUCCGGGGAGAGGUGAGUGGAACUGCGAGUGUAGAGGUGAAAUUCGUAGAUAUUCGCAAGAACACCAGUGGCGAAGGCGGCUCACUGGCCCGGUACUGACGCUGAGGUGCGAAAGCGUGGGGAGCAAACAGGG
rnacentral:rRNA from 1 species